rnacentral:rRNA from 1 species
UGGGGAAUUUUGCACAAUGGGGGAAACCCUGAUGCAGCGACGCCGCGUGAUUUAGAAGGCCUUCGGGUUGUAAAAAUCUUUUCUAUGGGAAGAAAAUGACAGUACCAUAGGAAUAAGGACCGGCUAAUUACGUGCCAGCAGCCGCGGUAAUACGUAAGGUCCGAGCGUUGUCCGGAAUCAUUGGGCGUAAAGGGUACGUAGGCGGGUAAGCAAGUUAGAAGUGAAAUCCUAUAGCUCAACUAUAGUAAGCUUUUAAAACUGCUCAUCUUGAGGUAUGGAAGGGAAAGUGGAAUUCCUAGUGUAGCGGUGAAAUGCGCAGAUAUUAGGGGAAUACCGGUGGCGAAGGCGACUUUCUGGCCAUAACCUGACGCUGAGGUACGAAAGCGUGGGUAGCAAACAGG